rnacentral:lncRNA from 1 species
UCCACUAUGUUCCACAACAUGGCAAUAUGUCAUCAAGUAUGUUUUUCUAUUCAACAUAGUCCACAAUAUGUAAAUUCAUAAUAUAUCAUCAUGCACAUAUACCACUAGCAUCACAUGAUUUGUCAACAUACAUAUAGUCAUUAUCCAAAAUAGUCCAUACUUAGCAUCUCAUGCAUUCUUUUAGCACUUAAUUCAUUAUGCAUUACAUUUAGCAUUUCUAUAGUAUGUUAACAUGCAUUCUAUUCACAUUCUUAUAUUAUGUCAAUAUGCAUCAAUAUGAAAACUCAUUUCUUAGACAUAAAGGGCGACCUAGUCGCUUCGGUAAACACAACCCACCUCAUUUCGCAUUCCGAUUGCUUGUCGACACUUACAAUCGGCCGCCCGCGGCACCCGGCACCCGGUUUGGCCCGAUCUCUCGCGCGACCACCCGAACGGCCUCCAAUUCACGAUCCGAAAAUUAAAG